rnacentral:rRNA from 1 species
GGUUAAGCGACUAAGCGUACACGGUGGAUGCCCUGGCAGUCAGAGGCGAUGAAGGACGUGCUAAUCUGCGAAAAGCGCCGGCGAGGUGAUAUGAACCUUUGACCCGGCGAUGUCCGAAUGGGGAAACCCAGUGCAAUUCGUUGCACUAUCGUUAACUGAAUACAUAGGUUAACGAGGCGAACCGGGGGAACUGAAACAUCUAAGUACCCCGAGGAAAAGAAAUCAACCGAGAUUCCCCCAGUAGCGGCGAGCGAACGGGGAGCAGCCCAGAGUCUGAAUCAGCUUGUGUGUUAGUGGAACGGUCUGGAAAGUCCGGCGAUACAGGGUGACAGCCCCGUACACGAAAGCACACAGGCUGUGAACUCGAAGAGUAGGGCGGGACACGUGGUAUCCUGUCUGAAUAUGGGGGGACCAUCCUCCAAGGCUAAAUACUCCUGACUGACCGAUAGUGAACCAGUACCGUGAGGGAAAGGCGAAAAGAACCCCGGCGAGGGGAGUGAAAAAGAACCUGAAACCGUGUACGUACAAGCAGUGGGAGCACCUUCGUGGUGUGACUGCGUACCUUUUGUAUAAUGGGUCAGCGACUUAUAUUCUGUAGCAAGGUUAACCGUAUAGGGGAGCCGAAGGGAAACCGAGUCUUAACUGGGCGUUAAGUUGCAGGGUAUAGACCCGAAACCCGGUGAUCUAGCCAUGGGCAGGUUGAAGGUUGGGUAACACUAACUGGAGGACCGAACCGACUAAUGUUGAAAAAUUAGCGGAUGACUUGUGGCUGGGGGUGAAAGGCCAAUCAAACCGGGAGAUAGCUGGUUCUCCCCGAAAGCUAUUUAGGUAGCGCCUCGUGAACUCAUCUUCGGGGGUAGAGCACUGUUUCGGCUAGGGGGCCAUCCCGGCUUACCAACCCGAUGCAAACUACGAAUACCGAAGAAUGUUAUCACGGGAGACACACGGCGGGUGCUAACGUCCGUCGUGAAGAGGGAAACAACCCAGACCGCCAGCUAAGGUCCCAAAGUCAUGGUUAAGUGGGAAACGAUGUGGGAAGGCACAGACAGCCAGGAUGUUGGCUUAGAAGCAGCCAUCAUUUAAAGAAAGCGUAAUAGCUCACUGGUCGAGUCGGCCUGCGCGGAAGAUGUAACGGGGCUAAACCAUGCACCGAAGCUGCGGCAGCGACGCUUAUGCGUUGUUGGGUAGGGGAGCGUUCUGUAAGCCGUUGAAGGUGUGCUGUGAGGCAUGCUGGAGGUAUCAGAAGUGCGAAUGCUGACAUAAGUAACGAUAAAGCGGGUGAAAAGCCCGCUCGCCGGAAGACCAAGGGUUCCUGUCCAACGUUAAUCGGGGCAGGGUGAGUCGACCCCUAAGGCGAGGCCGAAAGGCGUAGUCGAUGGGAAACAGGUUAAUAUUCCUGUACUUGGUGUUACUGCGAAGGGGGGACGGAGAAGGCUAUGUUAGCCGGGCGACGGUUGUCCCGGUUUAAGCAUGUAGGCGGAGGUUCCAGGUAAAUCCGGUACCUUAUUAACGCUGAGGUGUGAUGACGAGGCACUACGGUGCUGAAGUAACAAAUGCCCUGCUUCCAGGAAAAGCCUCUAAGCAUCAGGUAACACGAAAUCGUACCCCAAACCGACACAGGUGGUCAGGUAGAGAAUACCAAGGCGCUUGAGAGAACUCGGGUGAAGGAACUAGGCAAAAUGGUGCCGUAACUUCGGGAGAAGGCACGCUGAUAUGUAGGUGAAGCCCCUGCGGGUGGAGCUGAAAUCAGUCGAAGAUACCAGCUGGCUGCAACUGUUUAUUAAAAACACAGCACUGUGCAAACACGAAAGUGGACGUAUACGGUGUGACGCCUGCCCGGUGCCGGAAGGUUAAUUGAUGGGGUUAGCGGCAACGCGAAGCUCUUGAUCGAAGCCCCGGUAAACGGCGGCCGUAACUAUAACGGUCCUAAGGUAGCGAAAUUCCUUGUCGGGUAAGUUCCGACCUGCACGAAUGGCGUAAUGAUGGCCAGGCUGUCUCCACCCGAGACUCAGUGAAAUUGAACUCGCUGUGAAGAUGCAGUGUACCCGCGGCAAGACGGAAAGACCCCGUGAACCUUUACUAUAGCUUGACACUGAACACUGGUCCUUGAUGUGUAGGAUAGGUGGGAGGCUUUGAAGCGUGGACGCCAGUCUGCGUGGAGCCAACCUUGAAAUACCACCCUUUAAUGGCUGGUGUUCUAACGUAGACCCGUGAUCCGGGUUGCGGACAGUGUCUGGUGGGUAGUUUGACUGGGGCGGUCUCCUCCCAAAGAGUAACGGAGGAGCACGAAGGUUAGCUAAUCCUGGUCGGACAUCAGGAGGUUAGUGCAAUGGCAUAAGCUAGCUUGACUGCGAGAGUGACGGCUCGAGCAGGUGCGAAAGCAGGUCAUAGUGAUCCGGUGGUUCUGAAUGGAAGGGCCAUCGCUCAACGGAUAAAAGGUACUCCGGGGAUAACAGGCUGAUACCGCCCAAGAGUUCAUAUCGACGGCGGUGUUUGGCACCUCGAUGUCGGCUCAUCACAUCCUGGGGCUGAAGUAGGUCCCAAGGGUAUGGCUGUUCGCCAUUUAAAGUGGUACGCGAGCUGGGUUUAGAACGUCGUGAGACAGUUCGGUCCCUAUCUGCCGUGGGCGCUGGAGAAUUGAGGGGGGCUGCUCCUAGUACGAGAGGACCGGAGUGGACGCAUCACUGGUGUUCGGGUUGUCAUGCCAAUGGCACUGCCCGGUAGCUAAAUGCGGAAAAGAUAAGUGCUGAAAGCAUCUAAGCACGAAACUUGCCCCGAGAUGAGUUCUCCCUGACCCUUUAAGGGUCCUGAAGGAACGUUGAAGACUACGACGUUGAUAGGUCGGGUGUGUAAGCGCAGCGAUGCGUUGAGCUAACCGAUACUAAUGAACCGUGAGGCUUAACCUU